rnacentral:rRNA from 1 species
AUUGAACGCUGGCGGCAGGCCUAACACAUGCAAGUCGAGCGGAUGAAGGGAGCUUGCUCCUGGAUUCAGCGGCGGACGGGUGAGUAAUGCCUAGGAAUCUGCCUGGUAGUGGGGGAUAACGUCCGGAAACGGGCGCUAACACCGCAUACGUCCUGAGGGAGAAAGUGGGGGAUCUUCGGACCUCACGCUAUCAGAUGAGCCUAGGCCGGAUUAGCUAGCUGGUGGGGUAAAGGCCUACCAAGGCGACGAUCCGCAACUGGUCUGAGAGGAUGGUCAGUCACCUGAGAACUUGAACGCCGUCCUGGGUCCUACGGGAGGCAGCAGUGGGGAAUAUUGGGCAGUAGGCGAAAACCUUGUCCAAUCAUGGCGCGUGUGUUGAAGAAGUCUUGCGUUUGUAAAGCACUUUAAGUUGGGGGGAAGGGCAGUAAGUUAAUACCUUGCUGUUUUGACGUUACCAACAGAAUAAGCACCGGCUAACUUCGUG